rnacentral:rRNA from 1 species
CCAAUAGCGUAUAUUAAAGUUGCUGCAGUUAAAAAGCUCGUAGUUGAAUUUCGGGACUAAUAUGUCGGUCGUGCCUCGGUACGUACUGGUAUUUUUGGUUUCUCCCUUCUGACGAACCUUGAUGUCAUUAAUUUGGUGUCUUGGGAAAUCAGGACUGUUACUUUGAAAAAAUUAGAGUGUUUAAAGCAGGCUCACGCUUGAAUACAUUAGCAUGGAAUAAUGAAAUAGGACGUUUGAUUCUAUUUUGUUGGUUUCUAGGAUCGACGUAAUGAUUAAUAGGGAUAGUUGGGGGCAUUAGUAUUCAAUUGUCAGAGGUGAAAUUCUUGGAUUUAUUGAAGACUAACUACUGCGAAAGCAUUUGCCGAGGAUGUUUUCAUUAAUCAAGAACGAAAGUUAGGGGAUCGAAGACGAUCAGAUACCGUCGUAGUCUUAACCAUAAACUAUGCCGACUAGGGAUCGGAUGAUGUUAAUUUUUUAAUGACUCAUUCGGCGCCUUACG